rfam:Cellulomonas fimi ATCC 484, complete genome.
GGGGGUGAUCGGUUUCGACGGUGAUCGUCGAGCCAGGAGAAGCGGGUCGAGGACGCACGGUUAUCUCGUCAACGCUCCGUGCAAAUCAUAGGUGCCGAUAACAAGCGCACCGACUUCGCCCUCGCCGCCUGAGCGAGCCUCGAAGUCCGUCGGCCUAAGUACGCUUCCGACUUAGUUCCCGGCGUCAUCUAGGGAGCCACUGCUGGUCCUCAUCGUCAGUGUGAGGAUCGGGACUUCUAGCUGACUGGGCCUGUCCACCUUCUCGUCCGUGGGAGUGGUGGAGGCCGAGAAAAUCCAUCACGGACUGCACCCGGAGAAUCCCUGGUUCCACGUCAUCGGACGCGGGUUCGAUUCCCGCCACCUCCACGU